rnacentral:rRNA from 1 species
UAGGGAAUCUUCGGCAAUGGACGAAAGUCUGACCGAGCAACGCCGCGUGAGUGAAGAAGGUUUUCGGAUCGUAAAACUCUGUUGUUAGAGAAGAACAAGGACGUUAGUAACUGAACGUCCCCUGACGGUAUCUAACCAGAAAGCCACGGCUAACUACGUGCCAGCAGCCGCGGUAAUACGUAGGUGGCAAGCGUUGUCCGGAUUUAUUGGGCGUAAAGCGAGCGCAGGCGGUUUCUUAAGUCUGAUGUGAAAGCCCCCGGCUCAACCGGGGAGGGUCAUUGGAAACUGGGAGACUUGAGUGCAGAAGAGGAGAGUGGAAUUCCAUGUGUAGCGGUGAAAUGCGUAGAUAUAUGGAGGAACACCAGUGGCGAAGGCGGCUCUCUGGUCUGUAACUGACGCUGGGGCGCGAAAGCGUGGGGAGCAAACAGG